rnacentral:miRNA from 1 species
CGGCAAACUAUGGUCUGCCGCC